rnacentral:tRNA from 1 species
GUCUUAAUUAAGUUUGGAAGGCUGGUUAAACCGUUUGGUUUUCGACCACUACGACCCGGGUUCGAUUCCCGCAUUGGACA